GGAUCUCGGCUGGAAUUAAUCCCGAAACAGGGGAAUAGUAGGAAUCUGAUAACGUUGGGAUUCACGGAAGGCUAGGAAUGAAUGAAUCCUGAGUUCGGUGGGCAAUGAAGACGGGAUCCUAAGAUUUGUUGAACUUGUUUCGCUGAGAGAAGAUCUCAGAAGCUGGGAUUUGAGGUUGGAGCUUAUCCGGGAACAAGAGGAAGGGCGGACGACUGGAUUGGUUUGAGACGUUGAAGAUUUGCUGGGAGUGACCGCACGGGAUACUGAAGCUUAUCCCGUGGAUGAUGGAAGCUGCGAACUGGAGGAAGGUUGGCUCGAUUCGAGAGAAGAAAUCUGGAAGUGAGAAUCUCGGAUUCCUGUUAAUAUGGAUGCUGGAGUUAAUCUGGAACGCUGGGGCGGUAAUCUUUGAAUUUAUCCAUGACUCUGUUCCGCUGAAGCAGGGGAUGAUGUGGAGGAAAUUCGGAAAUGCUGGAUGGUGUUCACGGCUGAGAAGAGAUGCCGGAAGAAUUGGGAAGAUAAGGAUGAAUCGAGGGAGAAGGAAGGUUGGGAU
rnacentral:lncRNA from 1 species